GGAGGAUCAUUAAAUAAAAACAUUCAAAGUCUGCAGGCACUCGAAAGGGUGUUUGCAGCAACAGACACUUGUGUGGCAAAACCGUGAAUUAUAAUAUUUUUCAAACACUUAAAAAUCAUUUUUUUUUGAUCAACACAGACCAAGGACACAUUACUUACCUCUUAUAACACAAGAAAUGGUUGGAGGAAAGCUAGCUGGUGUUUUUUUUUUUUGGGGUUUUAAAAAAGGACUGAAAAGAACAGUAAGUACAGGUAAACUGGACUUACCAAAAGAAAAGGUCUUCUUUUUUUUUUUCCCCUCUUUAAAAACUAACUGGUUGGUUGCACUUUGUCCCUUAUUUGUGUACAUUAACUGGUAAGUAAUUAAUACUUGUAUAAGUGUUGUAAAAAAAUUACAAUAACUAUACAACUCUCAGCGAUGGAUCCCUAGGCUCCUUUAUCGAUGAAGAGCACAGCGAACUGUGAUAAGUAAUACGAAUUGCAGAAUACAGUGAGUCAUCGAAAUCUUGAACGCACUGCACCGUAGAGGCAACUUUACGGUAUGUCCCAUUGAAUGUCCACACAAUAAGCAAAGCAUUCACAAUUUAUUGUGAGAGCAUCAUUAACCCUCAUUUAAUGUGGGUUGAUGGACUUGGAUUUCAGCAAACCAUUUGGUUGGUGAGUUGAUCUCUUAAAUAAAUAGAGUAAAGACUUUAACUGCAACUCAAAGUCUGCACAGUCUUAAGUCUAGAUAGAGACUUUGUUUUCUUCCUCAAGACUUUUACACUGUCUGACACCGAAACGAGUAGUGGAAUAAGACUUUACACUUUGGGGAGGGGGUAGAAAGAGUAGUAAACAAGGAGGUGUAAGCUUCCCUGAUUAUAUAUACACUUUCUUCUCCUCUUCUUCUCUCACUUAUUUCUGGGGUGACCAUUCAACAACUGACUUCAAUUGGGGGCAUGACUACUUGCUGAACUUAAGCAUAUCAAUAAGCAAAGGAAAAGAAAUUAACAAAGAUUCCCUCAGUAACUGCGAGUGAAGCGGGAAUAGCUCAAUCCCUAAUCUGCUGUGGACAUCCACAGCCGAAUUGUAGUUUUGUGAUCAGCUUCAAGCUCUGACAUGGGAUCUAAGUCUCCUGGAACGGAGCACCAUAGAAGGUGACAGUCCUGUGAGGUCCUGUGGCUGGGGCAAUUGUUGCUGCAUCGACGAGUCGAGUUGUUUUGUAGUACAGCUCAAAAUGGGUGGUAUGUUCCAUCUAAAGCUAAAUAUCAGAAAGGAGACCGAUAGCAAACAAGUACCGUGAGGGAAAGGUGAAAAGUACCUUGAAAAGAGGGUGAAAAGUGCGUGAAAUUGCUGAGAGGGAAGUGUACGUACUCAUUGUUGCUGUGUCCAAAUCAAUUGUCACUGGGCAGCUUGGUGGCAUAAGGAUGUGCAUUAUUGUACACCUUGUGUUAUCAUUAAGUCUUGUGGCGGUGCACUUUGGAUGUAGCAACCACCAGCUCUGCAACUUGGAGGAUAAAGCUUUGUACUUGGAAGCAGCAUUUUGCUGUGGAGGUAUGAGGUGGGACUCUAGGUUUCAGAGACCAAAUGAGUGGCAUUAUCAGGCCUGGUUGGGGCAGUGUAGGUGCCAAUGCUAAGACAAGGCAACUUGUCCGGUGUUGGUGUUGAAUCUCGCUUCGACUGGUGCAGAUGCUGCGAAUGGGUGGGACAUCUGGGUAUGUAUAUCCCGUCUUGAAACACGGACCAAGGAGUUUAACUUGUAUGCAAGUGCAAGAGUUAUUAAACUUUUGCGCGAAGUGAAAGCGAAUGUGGGACAGGAACUGCUAGCAGGUCCUCGCACCACAGACCGAUCUAGAGACAUGUCAAAGGAUUCGAGUUGGAGCACACAAGUUAAGACCCGAAAGAUUACGAACUAUACUUGUGUAGAACGAAGCCAGAAGAAAUCCUGGUGGAAGUUCGAAACGGUUCUGACGUGCAAAUCGAUCGUCAAACAUGAGCAUAGCGGCGAAAGACUAAUCGAGUAAUCUAGUAGCUGGUUCCUUC
rnacentral:misc_RNA from 1 species